rnacentral:lncRNA from 1 species
AAAAGAUCGUCUGAGAAUUCCUUAAUGUUACUACCAGUAUGUGACAUAAAAAAAAAAUCAUUCUAUAGAAAUAUUUCUCAGAAUUGUGACAUAGCACUUUUCUGAUCCAUGUAAAACUCCUGCUUUAUCAUAGGUCUUCACAUUUGGUAAUAUUAUUACUAUUAUAAGGAAGAGAGAAUAUAUCUACCUGUUUUUUUAUAAUUGUAGUCAUUUUGACAAAUAUUUGAAGAUUAAAUCAUGAUAUUAAAAAAAAAAAUAAUCACAUCAUCUUUUGACUAGAUAUCCAGAUAUUCAAGCAUUUUUUCCAACCUGUCUACACUCGGAAAUAUUUUUUUAGUUAGAUGCACUAGUUCUUUAUUUAAUCAAAAUCUUAUUUCAAUGAAUUCUACCGAUUAAGCUACGCGGUAAAAUGGAAAGUCACGAAUGUCGGCCAUCUGGUCACGUGACUUUACGGUGGCAAAAUGGCGACUAACAAACGUGUUGUGUAUGUCGGUGAGUAUUUAUAAUACAGAUGGUAAUUCAGUUUUUAACUUGUAUUUAAAAAAAAAGUUAUAGCUUUGAUAAUAGUUACUUAUUUCACUUUGGUGACUUUUGUUGCAAUCGCCCGAAAGAAGUUAGAUUUUAUUACUCUAUCCGGUACCCCAUAUGACGCCGGGCAAAAUGCAUUUUGUUCGACUUCAAAUUCAAAUUCCGCCGAGGUCGACUUUGUCCUUCACCCUUGCAGUGUUGAUAAAAUAAGUACCAGCUGAGUACUUGAGAUCGAUGAAAUAGACUUCCUCCCUCCCUCGAAAUUGUGCUAAUGUUCGAAACUGAAGCAUGCGCUAUAUAUAGUUUGUCUUCCUCUGUAAAAAGGAGCCCAUUGCACCAUAUAUAUUUUCUCUUCUGUAAAAUUGCUUAUAUGUUUACAUACGAAAGCUAUACGCGUAGUUGUCGUCAAUUUCAUAUUUUAAGGUGUGCAUGUUCAGUUUUAAGUUUCAAAUUUAUUUACCCUCCCCCCCUAAUCAGAUUUUUACUGUUCGAGCAAACCUAUAGUCAAAAACCUUUCCAGCUGUGACCAUCUUAUCCUGACUUUGCUCGAAUUUUGAAUUAAUUGUUAAUAGCGAAAUGCUGUAGUGUAAAUGGGAAGCUACCAGCAAAUCAGAUAAACUUAAGCAUUUACCUCUGUUAUAACAUUUUCUCUCACUACAACAUCCUUUCAACCUCCCCCACCAAAAGAAAAAGUGUGUUGGGUGGACUUCUAUCGUACGUUGCUGUUCAAAUAGCGCGACUACCUUAUUUCAUUGCAUUCCUCUUUUUUAAAGUCUUAUGGAAGACAUUUCACUGCUAUUCUCGCAGUUCGAGCGACUGGUUACUUGGUUGGGUUGAUGAUAUCUUAACUAAACAUAUAUUCCUUCACAAAAACUUGUACAUCUUUUUCUGGAGACUAAAAUUAAAUUAUGCCUCUUCGCUACUUCAUUUGUAGUUUUUAUUAACCCCGACCAACUCUAGACAAUAUCCAUUGCCACAAAUAAUGGGAUCCAUAUAUAUUGUAAAGGUUUUCAAUGAAAAAUGUUCUCUGCCCCCUCUUAUAUUUUAUCAAAUCUUAUUUACGGCGGAGUUUCGGGUCAGGACGUCCACCUAAGUUGGAUUUUCUCCUUUUCGACGAGGAUUUUUCCAAAUUCUUUUCACUACGGCCUUCGAAACGUUGGUAGGGUGGGGGUGUUGAUGCAUCUUUUUAUGAAAUGAAAUUUUUUGAAAAUUUAUGGUUUUUAUCCACCCCGACUUUCUUUUUUGUGCUACACACUUAAAAACCGCGGGAAAAGCGGUACUAUUUAAGAAGUGUGGUCCCGGUGCGCGCACUCGCGUUAGCUAGUCGUGACUAGUCGAUCCUAUAACGACUACCUAGCAAAGUAAAUAAAACACAAAAUAUAUAAUUGUUGUUUCUAGCAUAUCUCACAAUCACCUUCUUCGUUUCUUUGUCACUCACACAUAUUGAUUCUUUGCAAUAAUUUCUUUCCAAUUUUCGUCUGUCUUUACAUUCUGAGUUCAAAUUCCGCCGAGGUCGACUGUCUUUCAUCCUUUCGGGGUCGAUAAAUUAAGUACCAGUUGCGUACUGGGUCGAUCCAAUCGACUGUCCCCCUCGCUCACCAAAAAUUUCGUUCCUUGUGCCUAGAGUAGAAAAGAAUAUUUUCUUCCCAUAAGCGCAUUUUAUGGAAUGAAGUAACAAAUGCGUGGUACAUUGCUGAUAUAUAAGCACGCACAAAUAUAUAAUUUUUAUUUUUAACCAUCCCCCAAACCAAACGAGGCCAUGUGUUAGAAAAAUCAUUUACUAACAGAGACGUAUACUAUCAAAAUAAAUUAUUUUACAUGCCUUUGUUAAAUCACUGGACAACUUUCUUAGUCUCUUCAAUAUUAUAAACAAUUUUUUGAAAAGAUUACAAAUUUUCAGUUGUAUUUUUAAAAGCAUAAAUGUGUUUAUGGGGAGAAAAAUAUUGAAAAACAUCAAUACAUGUGCAAGUGACAAAAGAGACGAGGAAGAUGGUCAUGGGAUGUGCUAGAAACAACAGCUAAAUUUCCCGUAUAUCAAUCACACCUUUUCGUUUGAAAAUACGUUUUUUUUCCACUGAAAAGACUUUACGUAAUGGUUUUCAAAACAGUUGGCCGAAAUCAAUCGAGGGAGGUGGGGAAAAAAAUCAUAAAUUUCCCCAAUUUUUUUUUCAUAAAAGGAUGGUCUUUAUCAUUUCGAAGACCGUGGUGAAAAGAAAUUGGGAAAAUCCCCGUCAAAAUGGAUAAAAUCCAACUUAUGUGAGUGUCGUGAUCCGAAAUCCAGCAAUGUACACUACUUCCUAUUACCUUUAUUACAAUACAUAUGAUUGAAGUACACCAUUUCACCGGUCGUAACUUUUUUUUUAGUUUUGAUAUUUUCAGAAAAUUUCUCACAAUGACAAAAAAGUUUUUUCCUAAAUCUUCUUAAGUUUAUCCUAAAUUUCCCCAUUUUGUUUACCUGAAUGAUGUCCUAUUUUUGUUUGUUCCUAAUGAAAUAUUGCUUCUUUUUUAUAUUGUUCCAAAUAAUUAUUUUGUUUAUCUGAAAAUAAUACCUUAUGUAUCUUCCAAAUGAUUUUUAUUUAUAGUUUGUCCCGAAUUACCCCCCAAAAUUUGAGAAUUUCAGACAGGCGAUAAAAAAAUUUCAAUUAAAUAUUUUUUUUUCUCGUUUAACUGUACAAGAUGGACUUUGUAGAACUCAAAUUUGAAAAAAAAUCUGAAAAUAUCAAAUGUUACGACUGGUAAAAUGGAGUCUUUUGAUCAGAACUCUACACAUCGGUGUCUGAUUCUUCAAAUAUCUGCAUAAUUUUUAAAAACGUGCAGGCAUGGCUGCAUGUGUAGGCAUGGUUCAGUCCCACUGUGUGGUACCUUGAGCAAGUGACUUCUACUAUAACCUUGGGCUAACUAAAGCUUUGUGAGUGGAUUUCUUAGACGGAGACUGAAAGAAACUUGUCAUAUAUAUGUAUAUCUAUGUUUGUCCUCCACCACCAUUUGACAACUGAUGUUGGUGUGUUUACGCCUCUAUAACUUAGCAGUUUGGCAAAGAAACCAAUAGAACAAGUACUGAGCUUUACAAAAAUUAAUAUGUACUAGGGUUGAUAUAAGUUUGAGUAAAUUUCUUUUAGGCAGUGCCUCAGCAUGGCUGCAAUCUAAUGAAUGAAUCAAAAGAUAAAAGAUUAAAAAGGUUUGCAAAAGACGCCAAGGCUGAAAUAUUACAGAAAGGGGUGAGGUAGGGGUAAACAUCUUCCUGCUAAGUUUAGUAAUCUUUAAUAUCUUAUAUCUCUCAAUAAUAAUUGUUUCUAAUGAAUAUAAGUGUGUUUAUGUUUGUUAUUUAUUUUCAGACUUAUAUGAUAUUUAAUAUUACAAAUUCUGCCCUGAAACAUGCUGAGUAUAUAUGUUGCUUGCUUUGAUAUGUGCAUAUAACAACACAUCAUCAUCAUCAAUAUUUGAUGUCUGUUUUCCACCAUCAUCAAUAUUUAAUGUCUGUUUUCCAUGGUUUGGAUGGCUUGACAGGAACUGACAAGUACAGGGGCCACACCAGGCUCCAUAGUCUGUUUUGGUUUGGUUUAUACAGCUGGAUGCCCUUCCUAAUGCCAACCACUCCACAGAAUGUAUUGGGUGACACCAGCACCCACACCAAAAAAUGUGAUGGAAAGAAUGCCAAAUAGACAUUUAUUAGGAUGAAUUCUUACACCAAAUUGUGAUAAUUGAGUAAAAAGUUAUUCCAAAUUAAGAAAAUGUUGCUUGUCUGUACAGCUAAAUCAUCAGUGUAGGCAAAAACAAAUUGCAAACCACAAAUGAACUCAUCAAUAAACCUUUGAAAAGUAUUAGCUGCAUUACAAAAUCUGAAUUCAUCAUCAUCAUUUAAUACCCUCCUUCCAUGUUGGCAUGGGUUGGAUGGUUUGACAGGAGUUGCCCAUGCAGGAGCCUGCACCAUGUUUCUGGUUUGUUGGGGUAGAGUGUGUGAAAAUUUUUUUUGUUAUGUGUCAGGUUCACUGACAUGGGCAAGUCUUCUCUAGAACCUCAUAUCACUAGACAUCCCUUCCAUUGUCAUUUUCUUUGUGAACUCCAACAUCCUGAAAUUGCUCCUCACCACUUCAGCCCAUGUCUUCCUGAGUCUCCAUCUUUCACAGGUACCACCCACUUUCGUUGACCAACAUCUCUUUAUACAGGUGUCUUCAUUCAUAUGCAUCACAUGUCCAAACCAACAUAGUUUCCUCUCUUGCAUGCUGCAUUUGAUUCCUCUGAAGGGUAUUUUAAUAAAUUCAAAAUGUCUAAAAUGGGUAGUUAUAGCUGUCUUAGGAAUGUCAGGUGGCGCAAUCAGAAUUUAGUUGUAAGGAAAUGCUAAAUCAAUAUUCAAAAAGACAGUACAGUCAUGUCUAAAAUAUGUGGAAUAGGAUACUUAUCUGGAACUGUUAAGGCAUUUAACUGCCUGUAGUCUCUACAAGGAUGCCAAUUGCCCCAGACUUUUUUUUGACUAAAUGUAGCAGUGAGAAACAGUUACUACCAGAAGGUCGGAUUAUUCCAACAUAAGACCAAAUUCUCCCUUUACAAUUUUAAGCUUGUUUAUGGUAAGAUGUCUGGGAUGAGACGAGAACAGGAGGUCCCUUUGUAAUAAAAUGAUGAGUAACAGAAUGUACUGGACUCUUGUUAUUAAAAACAGUAGGAGUGAUACUUGGAAAUUUCUGAAGACUCAUGAUAAUGGUUAUAUGCAAAUGGAACAAAGAAAAGCAGACUCACAUAAAGAUUUGAAUACAUACUCUGUGCUGAUAGCUUGGUUUGCAUAUCUAUCAGUUGCCUGUGCUUCAAACUGACAAGACCAAAAUGAUGCAAGAAGUAAAAAGUUGGCAUCAAGAAUAGGAUACAGAAGGUUGGCAGUGAUGAAUAUCCAUUUGAACUGUUGCCUUUAGCUCCAGUGCUAAAAAUUUUUUGCCGAAAGUAGUGAUUGGUGAAUGAUUUAUGGCUUGCAUUGCUAUGGCAGGUGGUUUUAAUGAAUCAGAAGUUUGACAGGCCAUAUACUACUGGCUGCUCCAGUGUCAACUAAUAUUGCCUGAAAGGCGGCGAGCUGGCAGAAACGGUAGCACGCCGGGCAAAAUGCGAAGCCGUAUUUCGUCUGCCGUUACGUUCUGAGUUCAAAUUCCGCUGAGGUCGACUUUGCCUUUCAUCCUUUCGGGGUCGAUAAAUUAAGUACUAGUUAUGCACUGGGGUCGAUGGAAUUGACUUAAUCCGUUUUGUCUGUCCUUGUUUGUCCCCUCUGUGUUUAGCCCCUUGUGGGUAGUAAAGAAAUAAAUAUUGCCUGGAGAUGGUGUCAUAAGUGAAGAUGAUACAACAGGCUGAUAAUCCAUCCAGAGAUUUAGUUGUGUUUAAUCUCUGGCAACAAUGUUUUACUGGUCUUGAGUAGAUGACUUAAAAGUGCAAGGAGAGAUAUGCUUGUGCACAUUCAUUCCGAAAUGACUGUAAUACUAACAGAAAGAUAAAGAAUUUUUUGAGGGCUAUAAAAUCACUUUCUCAAAAUUCUCUGGCCAUAAGAAUUCAAGUACUGAUGGAAUCUUGGAAGCUCAAACUGCUCGAGCUUGUCCAUUAGAACUUGUAUUGUCUCAUCAGUUGACUUGCAGAACAAGGCCAGUCCAGAGGGUAUUGAAGACACAAAAGGAUAAGUUUUGGUACUGUUUGUAUUUGGAGAAGAAAUAUCCAUAAUACUGUGUGCUAGCUCCACUAGCUAGUUAAUAGAACCCUGCUCUCUUAUCAUCAUCAUUUAAUAUCCGUUCUCCAUGCUGGCAUGAGUUGGAUGGUUUGACAGGAGUUGGCCAGCUGCAGAGCUGCCCAUGCUCCAUUUGUCUGUUUUGGCUUGGUUUCUAUAGCCAGAUAUCCUUCUUAAUGCUAACCACCUACCAUCCACAUUGCCCACCAGAUAAGGGAGCAAGAGACCCUGUCAAAGAUUUUCCCCGUGUUAACAAAAGCUAAAUACAGUGGUUUUUGGCCAAAUACUUCUCCUGCAGCUGUCUUGCCAGGAAGAUAGCAUCGGUAGUGCUUCUUCUUGGCACAAAACCAAACUGUAUCUCAUCUAGAUUAACUCUCUUCCUAAUUAAUUGAGCUAUGGCUAUUGCUGUAACUUUCAUCACUUGGUCCAGCAAUUUGAUACUUCUUUAAUUAUUUCUAUCUAAGGUAUCACUUUUACCUUUGUAGUUGUUGCUUCACCAGUUGUUGGAUAUGACUCCCUCAUGGACAACCUGAUUAUCUAUAUGGGUGACUAGGCCAUAUUCCACGCUGUCAGAAUAGCUUGUGCAUUAUGUGGAAGGUGGGGAAAAAAAAAGCUGCCGUAACAUAGAUUCAUUAAGUUGGUUUGUCUUCUACCAAAUCCCACAUUUUUCUCAAUAGUUGAGAAGGUUGUUUGCUGCUUAGGGUUCCCUUAUGGAGGAGUUAAUGGAAUCUCUUUUGCUUGAACAUAGAAGUACAUCUCAUAAUUUCUGCCUUCAUACUUUUAUAUGAGCGGUGAUCAAGUCUUUAACUUUGCUGCUCAAAGCUGGUGGCAAAACACUGACUUGUAUAUGGAACUGUCAUGCAUCAGAGGAUAUCUUGUUAGCUGCAAAUUUGGCUUCAUGUUGCAAAAACCAAAUCGAUGGGUCCCCUGGGCAAGGUAGUGAUGCAAUCAGUAAUGCUGCCUGCUUUGUUAGACUGUUGCUAGUUUCUGGGGAAAUUGAAAGAACAGGAGAAGACGCUAUAACAGUGUUGUUAAGAAAUUAAAAAUUAUAGAAAGACAAAAAUACUGGUUAUUUUUGAGCUGGUAAAACUUAUUAUACUGUUGCCAUGUAGAUUUAACUGCUAUUUUGAGGAAAAAUGAAAGUGUGACUUGUAGCCAAUAGUGGUUACUUGAUAUGGUGGUGGAAAGUGGCUGUAAGGAAAAGAUGCCGUUGGCUUCUUGCACCCUUGUUUUACCUUUCUCAGUCUUUAGGGUUUUAAAUGACUUAAGUUACGCUUUCCUGAAUGAAAAAAAGCAUUCAAAAUGAGUUGUCAAGAAGGUCAACAGGACUUUAUGUAUAUAUUGUUGCAGGCAUGUAGAAGUAAUUCAUGAUUCAGGUCAAUAAGUAGCCAUGAUAACUAAGCGUUAGCUUUGUCAUAGGUCACCAAUGUUGUUUGGAGGGUAUACAUGUGAGGCUGUGUGUGGAUGAUGUAUCAACACCAUGCAAACAUUUAAUAGUAAAUUUUAUUUUGCUUCACAAGUAAUAUUUUCAGAUUGGUCAUGAAUUAUAAAGUUUCCACAGCAAGUCAACACUAUUGAAAGAAUAAUUGUGCAGCAUUCAUCAUCUGUACUGAAGUUUGCCAGGACAGGAGAGAAUAUACAGUAUAUUGAUAUUGGUCAACUAUUAUAACAUAUCCAGGUUGAGCAGAAAGUCAUGAAAAAACUAUUAUAAAUGACAAGAGAGUGUUUGGAGCUGGACUUCAGGUUACCAUUCACUGAAAGUUGAUGCUAAAAACAAGCCUUUACAUAACCCUUGUACUGAAAUGUUCCAGAACGAGCUAGAAGAACCUAUUACGUGAAGUCUGGCUACUGAUUGGUUAAUAACUUGACCUCUCACAGGAACAAUUUUGUGCUAUGUCAUAACUUAAACAUUGCAAUCUGUCGACUUGGUUUUGAGUUUGUUACACAUACAAUGUGUUUAUGAUUACAUUUAAUAAACAUAUUUUGUGUAGCUGUGAAUUUAGGACCAUAUUCUGAUGCAUUGGUGCUCUAUGAAUGAGAAAAACAAUACCCCCCAACUAUGACAUAUAAUGUGUCAUCCUUUUUACUAUUUAGUUGUUGUUUUUUUUAGAUGAAGCUGUUAAAGGAAAAGGAAGACUUGGUUGUUGUUUCUAGUAGGUUGAGAGACCAGGUAGCAGUUUCAACUUCAUUGUGUUUGCUGAGCUUCAUAACAAGGAUUUUGAUUGGCUAAAAUUAUUUAACUUUAAAUGCUUGUAACUUCUUUAUUAUUACUUUCUGUAAAAAAAUUAAUUCAGUUUUUGUCAUCAGUAUGCAAAACUACACCAGAACGAAAUUUUUUGAAAAUUAUCUGAUGGAAAUUUGAAAAACUUUAAGUGGUUGGAAGUGUCACAACGGCAUGGUGUUAAUGAAAGAUGUUGUGAAAUGCUGGUGGUGGUUGAGUAUAAUGAUGCAUAACAAUUAACAGAACUUUAUUGACCACUCAAAAUAGUUUCCAUGUUGGUCUUGAAUUUAAAAUACAACAAAAUUAACACACUGGUAGAAUAAUUCUGUAGUUAUUACAAAAUAGUUGGUGAAAUAAACUGUCAUGACAGGAGAAAAUGCCACGUGGGGUUCAUGACUGCAGAACUGUAACUGCUGUCUAAUGCAGCAAAGUGAGAAUGUGGUUUGCAUGAUGGUGAUUGUCUACAAACUGAAAUUGGGCACCCAAAGCAUGCCUAUUUAUAAAACCCAUUAGGAAAUGUUAUAGAAAAUUCAAGAAAGUUGCACCAGGUGACGUCUUGAUGCUGAUUAGCCAGUUAAUCAGCUGAUCACAUGAAAUAGCUGUCACUAAGCUAUGGCUUUUACUUGGCAAUUUGAUAAUUCAGUUUCAAAUCUGCUUUAGAAGAAAUUUAACAUGGUCUAUUUCUAAUACAGAUGCAGGCCAGAAAUUUGGGAGAGGGUUGUUGAUUAUAUUGACCCCAGUACUAAACUGAAAAUAAAUUUUAUUGACCUCCAAAAGGAUGAAAGGCAAAGUUGACCUCAGCAGGAUUUCAACUCAAAAUAUAAAUAGCCAAAAGAAGUUCCACAAGGCAUUUUAUUGAACAAUUUUACCAAUCCAUCACCUUCAACUUACAUAGGUAACACAAGUCCACAGAUAUUUGUUAUGCUGAAUCCAAAAAUGGAUCCAAUUUUUACCAUUGUGUCUAGAUUUGAAGAUAUCCAAACCCCACCAAAUCAUCUGUAGGUAAUGUGUGUGGACUUCAAGAUGGUCAAUUAUUUCUUGGGGCAACAAUGUGGAUACAUGAAAUAUCCAUGCUUUUUAUGUAUGUAGGACAGCAGUGUCAAGGGAAAUCAUCGAGUGAUCAAAGAAUGGCUUCAGUAAACUUUAGUUUCAGGGUCUUUUAAUGUGCCUUUAAUUCAGCCAGGAAAAAUCCUCCUACUUCCUCUCCAUAUCAAACUUGGCAUUAUAAAGCAGUUUCUAAAGCUCUGUAUAAAGAUGGACCAUGCUACUCAGUGUUACUGGAAACUUCAAUAUCAGUGAAAAUAUAGACAAGCUAUACAUUCCUUGUAAGGAUGGUGGCUAUAGUCUUAAACCUGUAAUGAUGUCAUAUCAAGCACAUAUUGUGACACUGAAGCAAUAUCUAUAGCAGAGAAAAGAGGCCAGUAAGUAUCUUGCCCAAGUUUGCAAGCAUGAACUCAACAGUAUAAUUAGGAUAGCUAAUGAAUUCAAGGAGAAGUAUGAAAUAAGAACUGAUAUAGAUCUCUUUCCAAGGAGCAUUAGUAACUUCUCUUUAUCAGAACAACACAAUAAAACAAUGGAUCAGUUUACUGGUAGUGCAUGGAUACUUGACAUGAAAAAUACAAGCCAUUGAGGGAAUUAAUCAUAAUUUAAGUUUAUAAUUAUCUCACUUUGAACUCUACUUUCACGUAAUUUAUGAACAAGAAAUCUAGUACCUGCAACAUAAAAAGCAGAAAAAAUUGACAAACAUCAAAUGCAGGCUGUGCAGAACUAAGGCUGAAGACAUCAACCAGAUUAUUGCCAGCCACAACAGAAUGUCUUUUAAUAUUAUCUUCCCAUGAGGCAUGAUGCAGUGGCCAAAACAGUCUAAGAGAAAAGGAAAAUAACAAUAGAUGAAGUUGACUAUACUAAGACCAACGGGUCAAAAGAAUAUUAGUGGAACUUAAAAAUUAAAACAGCCAACAAGUUAAAACUCAACUGGUCAGAUAAUGUGUGGGGCUACAAGAAAAAAUAUACUCUUGUGGAAAUUAUCUGCCUUCUGGAUGCUAAUGCGGUUAGAAAAUCCAGGGAAAAGAGGAUAUUCAUGGACUAUUGAUAAGGAAUUUGUAUAUCCAGUACCCAAAAUACACUUUUAACUUCAUACUUAUCAUUAUUGAACCACAGGAUAUGUACUAACCUGCCUGGAGCUAAGUGGCUGGACUUGGGUACUUGGAGAGAGAAUGCACUCCAUAAUUUAAAUACUACAAAUGUUCAUGAUAUCUAGGACGGUAAAAUCUGGAAGUGAUCAAAAUUUGAAGUGAACAAAACAAGAUGCUUUCUGUCACAACUUUGCUGCCAAGCAGGUGGUUGAUCAAAAUUAGAUCUAAAUAAAAAAGAGAAAAAGAACACAUAUUUACACACACACACACACACACACACACACACACACACACACUCUCUCUCUCUCUCUCUCCCAAACCAUGAGCUUCUGCACAAUUUUUCUUUACCUAAUUCCACUCUCAUGAUAUUGAUCACUCCAAGGUUGCAGAAGACACUUCACCAAGAAGGUGCAUAAUGCGAUUGUACUUAGAACCAUGUAGUUGUGAAGCAAAGUCUUAACUUCAUGGCUAUGCUUUGAGAGAAGAAAUAAAGACAAUAUGGUCACAGUUAGAAUACCUUUAUUCAUAGGACCUUUCAGUGAAGGCUGACAUAGGUUGAGCAGCAUCAUUAAGUCACGUACUUAGCCUCUACUCUGAUGUUUGAUUUCUUAAAAAAAUAUUUAUUUCUAUUGUAGGUGGUUUGGCUGAGGAAGUAGACGAAAAAGUGUUACAAGCUGCAUUCAUUCCAUUUGGUGAUAUUGUUUACAUUCAGAUCCCUCUUGAUUAUGAAACUGGUAA